rnacentral:lncRNA from 1 species
AUUAUCUCCAAGAGUGAAUGCAGGUAAUUCUUCAAAUGGGAUCUCUGAUUAUUUUAUCGCAAUUGUUCUCCACAAAAAGGAGGGCAGAUGGUCAAUGGAGCUGUGUUGCCUUUUUGCUCCAUCCACCUUAUCCAUCUUGUUCCUCUUGGAGCAAUUUUCUGGGGGAGGGAAGACAGCAACCAAUAGUCAAUUGAUUCUUGUAAUGAUGUGCUCUUCUCUCAUCCGUGUAUCAACUGUCAGAUGAUUUGAAUCAGUAUGCUGAUGAUCUGUGAGGUACAAUGGUAAAUAGCAUGUUAGAGUUCUGAUGGCAGUUGUUGAUAAUGAAAAAAAAUGUCCAUCCUAAUACUUUGAAAUAACCACAUGUUCCUCUUUCCCAGGGUUUCCUGAUAACGACAAAUUUUUCCAUUUUAUGGUAAGUUGCUUCUACUAAUAGCUAUUGUAAAUUAUGUAAAUAAGAGCAUAUUACUGGGCUGGGGAUGUGGCUCAAGCGGUAGCACACUCACCUGGCAUGCGUGCGGCCCGGUUCAAUCCUCAGCACCACAUACAAAGAAAGAUGUUGUGUCUGCCAAAAACUAAAAUAAAUAUUUUUUUAAAAAGAGCAUGUUAUCAUUUGUAGGGUGGCUUUACCAUCAUGGUAUUGGUUAAAGACUAUAGUGCCAGUAAGAACAAACAUCUUGUCUUAACUCCCUGCUCUAGCCCCAGAACGAGUAAUGGUGAACCCACUGGUGUAGCUGGGAGAGAGGAAGGAAACUUGGUUCCAUGAGGAACUACAUGAGGUCCAGCAAAUGGCAAUAAAUAGCCUUUGCUUUGCUUGUCAUUAAUAGUAGCUGGAUAUUUUGAGUACUUUGCUAAUUUAGUGUGUUUUUCUGAUUCAUUCAGGAGCAACUCAUUUCCAUAUACUGAUGAAAAUACUCCAGCAUUAGCAGGUUAGUAGGAUUUUUUCCCUAAUUCAUGGCUUAUGCCACCAAGUUUCUAUGAUGACCCAAACUAGCUCACUAUGAUUGACAAUGAAAAUAUAUGAACACCUGAGAAACUGAAGGAUAGAGAAGUGGGGCAAUAUCCUGAUAUGCCACAUAUACAUAGUAUUUUACCUGUUUUUAAAUUUUUCAGGUGCUGUUACCAAUGUCUACUUACUGGUUCAAAGGUGAGUAAUUUCAGUAUGUGUUAAGUAUAUAUAGCAUAUUGGGUAGGAAAAAGUGCCUUUUAGGCAAAUAUACAUGAUGACUUAUGGAAUCUCGUUCGGCUGAUGUUUUGCUGUUGAGACUCGGAAAUCUGAUUUCCUAGAAAUAAUAGGUGGGGAUAACUGAGGCAGGACAUAAGCAUUACUCAUUUGAUCUUGUUUGUUUCAGGUCUAGCAUCUUGUCUGGAUUCCAAGAAUGAUUUGAGGUACAUACCUUUGCAAUAUUUAUGCCUAUCAUGUAGCAUCAACUUUAUGGUCUGUGGUGGUACUUUGGUCUGAGUAGCCAUAUUUGGAUCACCAGUGGUGAAUUCCUGCUCACCAGUGAUGAGUUGAAUACCGCCCCAGUCUGAUCAUUGUGACAGAAAGGUACACUCUGAGUUGUGAGCUCAUCUUAACAGUAAGCAAUAAGAAGAUGGAUAGGCUUUAUAGCCAAUAACUUUCUAGGACUAGGUUUCUAUGAAGUGUGCUUUUCCUUUAAGCAAUAAAGAGAUGACUUAAUUCCUAAUCUCUUUCCAUUACAGAGAAAGCAAGUCAUAUCUGCCUAACUUCAACCUGAAGUUAAAGGUGAGUGGACUAAGGUGAAGGUAAAGUACAGUAAGCUAAAAAUUUCCCAAUGAAGAAGCAUUUCACACGUCUUACUUCCUGUCCUAGUCCCAGAGCCUGUAAAGGUGAACCCACUGGGGCUGGCUGGGGGAGAAGAGGAAAGCUUGUUCCAGAAGGAACUGUCUGAGGGAUGAUCAGAAUUUCUGUAAAUGGAAAAUGGAAGAAGAAUCAGUUUGAAAUAAGUUGUCUUUUUUUUUUUUUCUUCCAGCCCCCAAGUCUGAGGAAAGACAAGAUGAAGAUAAAUGGUAGGCUCAUUUUCAAUUUAGUUUGUAAUAGAAUAAAUCCAGAGUACCUAGAAUCAGCCCUUUAAUGUUUGGUUUAAAACCUUGCCCCUUGUAAAUUCAAAGGGUGUGUGCAUUAUGUACAUUUUUAUUUUCCCAUCCAAUAAAGAUUCAUCUUUCCUCAGCAGGCAUCCAUCCAAGUCUUGGAGGACAUCAGAUUUCCAGAUCUUUCCUUGUGCAUCCUAGCUGUUCAAGUUAACACACAAUCAUUUUGAUCUUCCUAAUAAAGCUCUUUUUCUUAA